CCCUUAGAGGAAGUAAAAGUCAUAACAAGGUUUCCGUAGGUGAACCUGCGGAAGGAUCAUUAUUGAAUUUGGCCUUUGGCCUUAUACACAUAAUAUAACACUGUGAACCGUGGCUUCGGCCCAAACUAUAAGUCUUGAAUGUAAUAUAUCAUAACAAAAUACAACUUUUAACAACGGAUCUCUUGGCUCUCGCAUCGAUGAAGAACGCAGCGAAAUGCGAUAAGUAAUGUGAAUUGCAGAAUUCAGUGAAUCAUCGAAUCUUUGAACGCACCUUGCGCCCUCUGGUAUUCCGGAGGGCAUGCCUGUUUGAGUGUCAUGAACACCUCACCCCCUCGGGUUUCCGAUUGGGUGGAUUUGGGUGCUGCCAGUUACAUGGCUCGCCUUAAACGCAUUAGCGGUUGUUGACGUAAUAAGUUUCGUCUUGUCGACCGCUUCUAAUCUCCUUCGGGAUGUCUUUCGGGACACUUCAUGAUCUGACCUCAAAUCAGGUAGAYACCC
rnacentral:misc_RNA from 1 species